rnacentral:piRNA from 1 species
UAAAACAAAGCAAGUAGAGAAAAGGGUGCAC